rnacentral:lncRNA from 13 species
AAUCCCAUUUACCAUGUAUAUCUCCUGUUUAUUAAACAGCACUUUAACACAAUAACACUAUUAGAGACUGCUCAGCGAUGUUGAUCACCCUCCUAGUGAUGGCAAACAGACAGUUGUUCCACUGCCACAACAGCUUGAGAGUGAGAGCAGUAAAACAAAAGAAAGCUAACUGUAAAGAGAGAGAGGAGUAGCUAUGAUAAGAGAAGGUCUAUGAAGGCCAGGCCGUCUGAAGGCCUCUGCAGACCCUGUGCCAGCUGAUGAGGCCAUGCCGAAUGGUGCUGAAAUGGAACAAUUACAACUGUUCAAAAAUGCUCUCUGCUGUAAUUGAGACUCAAAUCCCUUUUUAGCCCCAAGACCCUUUCUCCCCUAAACCCCUCUCCUCAUUAUCCUCCUUUAGCCCUCCCUUCCAUCCCCUUUGUCCCUCUUCUUUCAUCUAGGCUGCCCCCUAUCCCCAUAACCCAAUAUGCCCCCGCCCCUCUACCACCCCCUACCAGCUACACACCAAAGGAGGGCCAGAUGGGGGGUGGGCUUUAGGCUGCCUCAAAUCAAGGAUCCCUUUUGGACCAUCUGCUCUCUCUCUUUCUCUGCCGUGAGGCUAUGAGACUCAUCACAGUGUUUCUGUAAGAGCUCACACUCAUCUUCUCAGCAGAUACUUCAGCUUUCUUGGAGGAGAUGGUCUCUGUUUCCCUCCCCACACUCCAGAAGGCCGUCACACACAGAGAUUGAAAGAACCCACUUCUCGCUCUCACACUGCAGCUAGUCGGGCAGCGCCACCGAGGCAGCAAAGCAUUGUGGUAGCACCCCCUGGUGGUGGCUCUUUGUCCUUGUUGAACCACAGAAGGAAUUUGCCUGCUCAUAAAUCCCACAAUUCUGUUGUGUUGUCAUGCUGUAUUGUCAUGGUCUGCUGCUCACCUUGUUGAUAUGCCUUUGUUAUGAAAGCCCAUUGAAACUUUGUUUCUCUCUUCCAGUCCUGUCGGAGACCACAGAUUCCUCAGAGGAGGAGUGGCAGUCUAUAGCUGAUCUAGCCACAGCAUGCCGCAGCAUCCUAGAAGCCUUGUCACGUGAAGCAGGAGAUGGGACCCAAGGAGCAGACUCCCUGACAGAUGGCAAGCUAAAGGACAUGAAGGACAGUGACUCACCCGGCCACCUGGAGGAGAAGGUGUCCCAGCUGGAGGACAUGCUGAAGAGGCUGCAGGACGACUUGCAAAAGGUCCACUGCUGAUGACGCCAAUAACAAUAUGAGAUCAGAGGAGGACGGGAUUAUUCCUCCUCCAAGACUAUUCUGCCAAAAGACGCCAGGGCAGAUCUCCUACACCCCACUCAGACCACUGGACCCAGCUGUGACACGCCCAAAAUAACUAGACUUAAAAUUUGGAAGGGAUGCCAAACAAUCGUCAAUCACACUGUCUCAAUGCUACUUUUUAAAGACCUACCCUUUUACUUCCUCUUGUGAUUUUAUUUUAGAGUCACUGUGAUUGCCCGGUACCAGCAGAUUACCAUAUAUUCUAAUGAAAUAAAACAUCUAAACUUUAUCUAUAUGUGAAGAUGACAUGUACAGCUGAAGUGUUCAAUGUUACUUAGCGCAUUCGGUUGUGUAUGCUGUCCAUUGCAGGAUGGUUUAACAUGCAGACCAGUGUAAAUGUGGCCGAACAGGCUGUUUGAUCCAUGCUGUUUGAAAUGUUGGAAAUGCCUUGUUGGAAAUGAUUAGUAGAGUUGAGAAGUGGAAGAAUAUCUGAUGUUUUACUGUGUUCUUCUGUAUAGUUCUUUAGAUUCUAGGAGGUUGUUGAGGCAUGAUACUGCACCAGGCAACUUCCUAGCUCCCCUCUGUGUUUGUGUGUGUGUGUGUGUGUGUGUGUGUGUGUGUGUGUGUGUGUGUGUNNNNNNNNNNGGGGGGGGGCAAUUACAUGUGCUAAAAAGUUAAACUGGUAUGGUGGGGGUUGGUUUUCAGGAAUAAUCUUUUUUUUGGUAGAAAUUCAAACAUAAGAAGACAGCAGGAAAAUAUAUUUCUGCAAUGUUCUAGUAUUGGUUAUCAUUAUCAUAUUACUAUUGAGCUAUUCAUUCAGAGCUCCUACGUUCACAUUCAAUAAGGUCUCUAAAGCCACUAGGUGCGUGUUAAAGAGUGACUCUCAGACUGUCCACAGAGGACCGGACAGACAACAUGGUCAGACUGGUUCAUGUGAAGGCUUCUCUCUCAGACAUUCUGCCUACCUGAAAGUGUAAUGAACGGUAACUCAGCUUGGUGUCUUCAUUUCAGUUCUUUAUGGUAGCAGACAGUGACAGGUUGUCCUGUACCCUCCAGAAUAGACAGGUGUGUCUGCCACAUGACAGACGCAGAUGUACGGUUGGUUGGUAUGGGGUCUCUCCAGGGUCCGCUCUGCAGCCCUAAUUAAAUCUAAAAGAAGACCUACAAUAAGAUGGGUUUAGGGACCCCAGGAAAUUGUCAAAUGGGUUAUAUGAAGAUGAUAUGAAGUUUGUGUUUUGUUAGGUUAAUGGGAAUUAUUCUGUAUAGCACUGGUUAAAGACCAGUAUCUCCAACCCUAUCAAAAUAUAAUCAUUUGAUGCAGAAAAACGCAACUUUCCACAAUAAUUUGGACAAGUAUAAACCAUCCUCCAAAUCACACUCUUGAGUGCACUUUGAAGACCCAUUUAUGCAUCACAGAACAUAUGUCUGACACCUAACACAGAACGUAUGUCUGACACCUAACACAGAACGUAUGUCUGACACCUAACACAGAACGUAUGUCUGACACCUAACACAGAACGUAUGUCUGACACCUAACACAGAACGUAUGUCUGACACCUAACACAGAACGUAUGUCUGACACCUAACACAGAACGUAUGUCUGACACCUAACACAGAACGUAUGUCUGACACCUAACACAGAACGUAUGUCUGACACCUAACAACACAUUACAGAUAGGAACAAUUCAAUAGGCUCUCACCUGCUGUAGGCUACUUCAGCUGGCAAAUGAUCUCCAACAAGCCAAUAGGAAACCUGUGAGAAAGAUCNNNNNNNNNNUAUGUCUGACACCUAACACAGAACGUAUGUCUGACACCUAACACAGAACGUAUGUCUGACACCUAACACAGAACGUAUGUCUGACACCUAACACAGAACGUAUGUCUGACACCUAACACAGAACGUAUGUCUGACACCUAACACAGAACGUAUGUCUGACACCUAACACAGAACGUAUGUCUGACACCUAACACAGAACGUAUGUCUGACACCUAACACAGAACGUAUGUCUGACACCUAACAACACAUUACAGAUAGGAACAAUUCAAUAGGCUCUCACCUGCUGUAGGCUACUUCAGCUGGCAAAUGAUCUCCAACAAGCCAAUAGGAAACCUGUGAGAAAGAUCCCUGCUAGAGACAUGUGGCUGUUCCCUCCUCCCCUCCAUGCUGUAAGAGCACAUAUAAAUGAACAGUGUUUUCCUCUUAUUGGUUUGCCUUUUAUGUCAUGGCACCAUCCUUACAGGAAACCAUGGCAUCAGUAUAUGCCCUACUUACCACACAGAGCUGGAAUGUCAAGAUAGAAUACAGGACAUGAUUACCAGUAGAACUACACAUGAAGUCAUAUCCUGGUGUAGGUUUACGGCAGGCCUGGGCCACACAUCAGGUCAGAACGGUAGCACACAUUAUGCACUCAGCUCAGCCAGUUAAAGAGCUGACGUUACCAUAACCAGGCAGUGGCACACUGAGGGAAUGUAUUGUAAAACACAAAAACAUGUUUUCGGUAUGAUGCCACCUCUAAACCUGUUCUUUCCCUCACAGGAAGUCAACUGACUAAAUGUUGUUCAUGUACUGUGAACUGGAGGACAUGGCAAUAAAGAAUCCUUUAGAAGUGAUUGGUGUGUCCAUGUUGUGAUUCUCAAUGUUUCUUUCUUUCUGAGACCUGACAAAGGGCGGUGUUGGGAAGCUGAUAUCACUUUGUUCAAUAUAUCAUUGGGGAUUGUUCUUUUGAUGCUAUUCAGUGUAAUAAAAAGCUACAUAUUGAUAACAAUGUAACAACAAGAUUACAAGUCCUGAUUUGAGGGCAUCAUUAGUUUUACUCUGUCUGGUUAAUGAAAUCUUACACAACUCCUACUGCAGUGAUCCGAUAACUAGACCCUUCAGAACCUACAUUACAUUUGCUGUAAUCAGCAUCAUUCAUGUAACUGAUACAAUCACAAGUAAAUCUCGUACUCUGAGGCCCUUUCUAUAGGUGACUGUACAGACUAGAUAUGAAGUUUCUUUCCAAAAUGCUAUAUCAACCAAUUUUUCAAAUUUGUGUUUUUUUCAUCAGAAAUGAUUGCUUAUGGGGACCUUCAUGUGUGUAUAAAAUAUUAUUGUUCUCUGAUUUUUUAUUCAUAGAUUUGAGAUGGUUAUGAAAAUGUUAAUUUUUUAUUUUUUAAACACUAUAUACCCAGUGUUUAGCUGGAAUGGAAUGUUC